CCUACGGGAGGCAGCAGUGAGGAAUAUUGGUCAAUGGGCGCAAGCCUGAACCAGCCAAGUCGCGUGAGGGAUGACGGUCCUAUGGAUUGUAAACCUCUUUUGUCGGGGAGCAAGGCCCGCCACGUGUGGCGGGAAGGAGAGUACCCGAAGAAAAAGCAUCGGCUAACUCCGGGCCAGCAGCCGCGGUAAUACGGAGGAUGCGAGGGUUAUCCGGAUUUAUUGGGUUAAAGGGGUGCGUAGGCGGAAGGUUAAGUCAGCGUGCAAAUGUCGGUGUCCAACACCGGCCUGCCGUUGAAACUGGUGUGCUUGAGUGAGCUAGAGGUAUGCGGAAUGCGUGGUGUAGCGGUGAAAUGCAUAGAGAUCACGCAGAACUCCGAUUGCGAAGGCAGCAUACCGGCGCUCAACUGACGCUGAGGCACGAAAGCGUGGGGAUCGAACAGGAUUAGAUACCCUAGUAGUC
rnacentral:rRNA from 1 species